GUCCUGGACCCGGCUCAGGAAGCAGUACCCUGAAGAGGAACUGGAGAGACAGUCAAUUCUUAGUAUAGCAGAGAGAUGGAGAGCAACAAACAGAAUGAUCUGGCUCUGUGGCCCAGGCUGUUCUCAAACUCCGAGACUCAAAACGAUCCUCCUCAGUUGAUUUUUUAUAAGAGCACCAAAAGAACUCAAUAGGGAAAGAACAGUCUUUUCAACACAUGUUGCUUGGACAACUGGA